ACGGGUGAGUAAUGCCUAGGAAUCUGCCUGGUAGUGGGGGACAACGUUUCGAAAGGAACGCUAAUACCGCAUACGUCCUACGGGAGAAAGCAGGGGACCUUCGGGCCUUGCGCUAUCAGAUGAGCCUAGGUCGGAUUAGCUAGUUGGUGAGGUAAUGGCUCACCAAGGCGACGAUCCGUAACUGGUCUGAGAGGAUGAUCAGUCACACUGGAACUGAGACACGGUCCAGACUCCUACGGGAGGCAGCAGUGGGGAAUAUUGGACAAUGGGCGAAAGCCUGAUCCAGCCAUGCUGCGUGUGUGAAGAAGGUCUUCGGAUUGUAAAGCACUUUAAGUUGGGAGGAAGGGUUGUAGAUUAAUACUCUGCAAUUUUGACGUUACCGACAGAAUAAGCACCGGCUAACUCUGUGCCAGCAGCCGCGGUAAUACAGAGGGUGCAAGCGUUAAUCGGAAUUACUGGGCGUAAAGCGCGCGUAGGUGGUUCGUUAAGUUGGAUGUGAAAUCCCCGGGCUCAACCUGGGAACUGCAUUCAAAACUGUCGAGCUAGAGUAUGGUAGAGGGUGGUGGAAUUUCCUGUGUAGCGGUGA
rnacentral:rRNA from 1 species